rnacentral:rRNA from 1 species
GACGAACGCUGGCGGCGUGCCUAAUACAUGCAAGUUGAGCGAUAACGUCUGGUGCUUGCACCCAUUUGUAGAGCAGCGGACGGGUGCGUAACGCGUGGUGAAUCUGCCUUUGAGCGGGGGACACCAUUUGGGAACGAAUGCUACUACCGCAUAAUAUCUUUACACAUAAGUUUUAAGUGUGAAAUAUGCAAUUGCGUAACUCAAAGGUGAUCCCACGUUGUAUUAGCUAGUUGGUGUGGGAAAGGCGCCCCAAGGCGAGGAUACAUAGCCGACCUGAGAGGGUGAGCGGCAUCGCUGGGACGGAGACACGGCCCAAACUCCUGCGGGAGGCAGCAGUAGGGAAUCUUUGGGAAUGGAAGAAAGGCUGACCGAGCAACGCCGCGGGAGUGAAGAAUGCUUUCGUAUCGCAAGACUCUGUUAGUAGUGAAGAACGUUGGUGAGAGUUGAACGCGCAGAAAGUGACGGUAACUAGCGAGAAAGGUACGGCUAACUACGUG